rnacentral:rRNA from 1 species
CACUGCUGGGGGUAGAGCACUGUUUCGGCUAGGGGGUCAUCCCGACUUACCAAACCGAUGCAAACUGACGAAUACCCAUGAGUGAUAUCCGGGAGACAGACGGCGGGUGCUAACGUCCGUCGUCAAGAGGGAAACAACCCAGACCGCCAGCUAAGGCCCCAAAUUCCUGGUUAAGUGGGAAACGAUGUGGGAAGGCAUAGACAGCUAGGAGGUUGGCUUAGAAGCAGCCAUCCUUUAAAGAAAGCGUAAUAGCUCACUAGUCGAGUCGGCCUGCGCGGAAGAUGUAACGGGGCUCAAACCAGGAGCCGAAGCUGCGG